AUUGAACGCUGGCGGCAUGCUUUACACAUGCAAGUCGGACGGCAGCGGGGUAGUGCUUGCACUACUGCCGGCGAGUGGCGAACGGGUGAGUAAUAUAUUGGGACGUACCGAGUAAUGGGGGAUAACCAAUCGAAAGAUUGGCUAAUACCGCAUACGCUCUGAGGAGGAAAGCAGGGGACCUUCGGGCCUUGCGUUAUUCGAGCGGCCAAUAUCUGAUUAGCUAGUUGGUGGGGUAAGGGCCUACCAAGGCGACGAUCAGUAGCGGGUCUGAGAGGAUGAUCCGCCACACUGGGACUGAGACACGGCCCAGACUCCUACGGGAGGCAGCAGUGGGGAAUUUUGGACAAUGGGCGCAAGCCUGAUCCAGCCAUGCCGCGUGUCUGAAGAAGGCCUUCGGGUUGUAAAGGACUUUUGUUAGGGAAGAAAAAGGAGCGGUUAAUACCCGUUUCUGCUGACGGUACCUAAAGAAUAAGCACCGGCUAACUACGUG
rnacentral:rRNA from 1 species